CACUCCUGCGGGAGGCAGCAGUGGGGAAUAUUGCACAAUGGGCGCAAGCCUGAUGCAGCCAUGCCGCGUGUAUGAAGAAGGCCUUCGGGUUGUAAAGUACUUUCAGCGGGGAGGAAGGCGAUAAGGUUAAUAACCUUGUCGAUUGACGUUACCCGCAGAAGAAGCACCGGCUAACUCCGUGCCAGCAGCCGCGGUAAUACGGAGGGUGCAAGCGUUAAUCGGAAUUACUGGGCGUAAAGCGCACGCAGGCGGUCUGUCAAGUCGGAUGUGAAAUCCCCGGGCUCAACCUGGGAACUGCAUUCGAAACUGGCAGGCUAGAGUCUUGUAGAGGGGGGUAGAAUUCCAGGUGUAGCGGUGAAAUGCGUAGAGAUCUGGAGGAAUACCGGUGGCGAAGGCGGCCCCCUGGACAAAGACUGACGCUCAGGUGCGAAAGCGUGGGGAGCAAACAGGAUUAGAAACCCUGGUAGUCCCAUG
rnacentral:rRNA from 1 species